GCUUUGAGAACUCACCGGGGACUGACUUAGCAUUAGCGUAGCGGCGGCUCUUGCCCUUACUCAUUUUGUUAAAACUUUGGAAUAUGCUAAGGUUUUUAAACUAUUACUAAAUUACUUUUGGCCUACAAACAACUCGUGCACCCAUUAAAUUUCUCAGAUAUAUACAGCUAUGUGAAAAGUAAAUAUUUCCCAUUUUAAUUUGCCCCCACAAAUUGGUAAAACAAACAAUUCAAGAAUUUUGAAAGCGUAGAUGUUAUAGACAAACAAAGGUUAUAUAUUAUUUUCUUUUUUUUUGGUACUUUUAAGUGUACGAGCGGUCGAUCAUUAAAUUCCUAAAUGAUCAAAUCUUGUUCCCCCUAAGAGAAACUUCUAGAUCCGUCCCUGGCGCUCACUCUUAAAACCGAAGUCAGGGGUUCGAAAGUUGGCAGGGGGGCUUGUCAUGUUCAAGAAUUCGUCGAAUUUAAGGAUGAGCUCAAACUUCUUAUGUUAUGGAUGGUCCUUCCAUAUUAGCUAAAUAUGAAAGAGCAACUUAUUGUCAGAGGUGUUGGGUUGGGGGUGAGGGUGGAGUGGGCUGCUUGUUUAAUCUAGUUGCUAGUUCUCAUUUAGGUCAAUUCUUUAAGGUAUCUCGUGGAGUUGCUCUCUGCCUUGACCUCUCCUACUAAUAUGUGAUAAUAUUUUGCUUUCAGGAUGAUUUCUUGAAGGUGAUAGAAGUUAGACUAUUGGUUGUGAUAUGGCAUAGCUGAGAAACAAACUUGCAAAAUACACGUGUAGUUGCUUCUGAGGAAUUUUUAGUCUUUGUAUGUAGUUUACAGUUGCAUGUAAAUGAAGGAGAAUGACUUGUAAUGCAAUCAAGUAGUGUUCAUUUAAGGCUUUUCCCCUGGGCGUUUAACUUAUACCAGCCAUUAAUGGUGCUUUACAGGUGGGAAGAUAUGGAGGGAGAAAUCCAUCAUCUUCGAACAGGGCUGAUGCAAAAUCAAAGGAUAGAUGUAUCAUUAUGUGAACAGCGUGCAUUGUAGCAUCACAUGGAAAUGAAUAUGUGGAUCAUUGCAUAAAAAGGGAAUACAUGAAUAAUACGGGAUUUAAGGAGAUUUCAAUGGAGCCGUGUGACUCAAGGCUUUGGUAGUUUGGGAAUGCAUGUUAUAUGCUCUUACGUUAUAUAGAGGUGAGAAGUUUGGAACGGCACUGCCAUCUAUACUGCAGUUGGAAGUGGGUUUUCUUUCUCCUGAUGAUCUGUUUCAAUGCUUGGUCUUGUUUUGUCAUAUUGAUGUCGACAAGGAUUGUGAGCUCCAAAUUCCUUACAUGCGUGUUGUAGUGUUGAAACUCGGAUCUCUCUGCCAUUUUGACAUCAGAUGAAUGAGGUGUGAUGCUUUCUUUGUCGUUUCAUGUAAAAAGGAAAUAGACAGUGUAAAGGGCCAAGUUCAUUUUAGUUGAGGAAGCUGCGCGACCGUGUCUCGUGGGCAGUUACAGUUUGCUAGAAACAGUAGCUUAUGGCCCUUUAAGCUGGGUGGCUUUAUCCGGAAAUGUAAGUGAAGGAAGAUUCAAGAAUGAGUUUUCACGAAGAUUGUUUUUUGUACUCAAUGAAGCCUUUCUAACCAAAUUUAAAAUUUAUGUA